GACGAACGCUGGCGGCGUGCUUAACACAUGCAAGUCGAACGGAAAGGCCCUGCUUUUGUGGGGUGCUCGAGUGGCGAACGGGUGAGUAACACGUGAGUAACCUGCCCUUGACUUUGGGAUAACUUCAGGGAACUGGGGCUAAUACCGGAUAGGAGCUCCUGCUGCAUGGGGGGGGUUGGAAAGUUUCGGCGGUUGGGGAUGGACUCGCUGCUUAUCCGCUUGUUGGUGGGGUAGUGGCUUACCAAGCCUGCGACGGGUAGCCGGCCUGAGAGGUUGACCGGCGACAUUGCGCCUAAGGGACGGACCAGUAUGGUACGGGAGGCAGCAGGGGGGAAUAUUACACAACGGGCGGGAGCCUGAUGCAGCAAUCCCGCGAGCGUGAUGCCGUCCUACUGGUUGUAAACCGCUUUCGCCUGUGACGAAGCGUGAGUGACGGUAAUUGGUAAAGAAGCACCGGCUAACUACGUG
rnacentral:rRNA from 1 species